rnacentral:rRNA from 1 species
AUACGGAGGAUCCGAGCGUUAUCCGGAUUUAUUGGGUUUAAAGGGUGCGCAGGCGGCCAUUUAAGUCAGCGGUUAAAUCGUGGGGCUCAACCCCAUUCUGCCGUUGAUACUGGGUGGCUUGAUUGCGGUCGAGGUUGGCGGAAUUCGUUGUGUAGCGGUGAAAUGCAUAGAUAUGACGAAGAACACCGAUUGCGUAGGCAGCUGACCAGACCGCAAAUGACGCUCAUGCACGAAAGUGCGGGGAUCGAACAGGAUUAGAUACCCUGGUAGUCCGCACAGUAAACGAUGAAUACUUGUUUUCGGCGAUAUAAUGUCGGAGGCAAAGCGAAAGCGAUAAGUAUUCCACCUGGGGAGUACGCCGGCAACGGUUAAACUCAAAUGAAUUGACGGGG